CUUGGUGUGGAUCUCACACAAGGCAUUCCACUCUGGUCACCGAGCAAUCAACACCGAGUUACUCGAGCCAUCUUAAGGUUUGGACUCUGGUCGUGUGGGGGCUAUACCUGUGGGGUAUACACUACUUGUAUAUUGAUUUAUAGAUCCUGGGGAUAAAUGAUCCUAUAUGGAAACCCCAGUGUUCUAAUUUACUUAUAAUUAAUUAACCCUAUUAUUAAAGCCCUUCAGAUCCUGAA